ACUUCUGAAGUAAUGGAAACAUUUAAAUUCAUUAUUUUACCCAGAAAAAGCGUCUGGGACAUUAAUCGUACUUGUAAAACUGUGCUACCGUCGUCUCCGAGGAGCUCGGAUUCAGCUGAUGUUUGGGCGCCGCUUUGGCGCUCGAGCUACGCUUCACGGUCGGUGCGGUUGACAGGGCUUACCCGAUUGAACAGGAUACGCUCCCGGCCCCACAGCGACACCUCCUCCAGUAUCACCGACAUGUCCUUGUGCAUCUUCAGGCAGAGCUGGACCGGAUCCAGUGCGCCCCCGAUCGGGCGUCCGAUCGAUGCUAGCAGCUGGUCAAUUUUCUCCCGCACCAGCUCGUGCGAACAGACCGCAUCGUUUAGUAUUCCCUGCGACGAGUCUGCAGUUGUGGGGUAAGGGGGCAAGCCGUGGCCAUCGUGUAAGGGGGUAGAGGGGCACGCGUUGGCGUAACGGUGCGUGACAUAUUUGGGAUGUGCGAUUUGUUGCGUUUUGUCCACCAACACCAUCCACCACCACGCCCAAACAUGCAAAGGAAGAAACGGAAAGAAACGCGGCGCACUAAUAAGCUAAAGCAGAGUAGAACGUGCCGUGCAUCGGUAACGGGGAGGCGACAAAUGAGUGAUCGAAUUCCCGGCGGCCGGUGUCUGUAUGUAGAUGUGUAUAGGGGGAAGAGAAUUUGCGAAAGAAAGUUCAAAUCAAUUUCACCUAACAGUUCCGUCUGCUGUCGCUGCAGGGCGAGCAUUUUGUCGCGAAAACAGGCCGUUAUCUCGUCGUUGAUCUCGGAAAAGCGGCUCUGAAAGUGAAGGGUAAAUAAAG